UACUCAUAUCUUUGUUCACAUCUUACAUUGCUUCCUUGAGAUAUUUUCUCUUCCCCCACCCCCCAGCUUUAUUGAGAUAGAAUUGACCUAUAAUAUGAUUUCCCUUGAAAUAUAACUAGUAGGUCAAGGUCCUUUGAUAUACACUUAACUUUUCAUAUUCUGAACAAUGCUAUGAGAUUCGGCAACUACUAUGAUACUUGUUUCAGUGAAGAAUCGUCAAUGGAAGCUAAAAUUAAAGAGCGAACGUUUGAUGAGAAACAGGAUAGUCACGUGGUGUCAGAAUAGCUCCCCACUGAUUCCUGGUUGAUUACAAAGGCAGGAGUAGCCACUUGACGGGAGAGAAAGCCUGCGGGCACCGCCUUAAUUGAGUGAUCGAAGUUAAGGACAUCGGAAAGAGACAGACCACACUGUGAGCCGCCUCCUCUGACAUGCAAAGAAAAACACGAGAUCAGGCUGGGACAUUCCUGCCAAAGACGUAUUACCUGAAUUUUGUGAUGAGAAAACGUCAGGCAAACCCAAAUGGAGGAAAAUUCAUAGCUGGCUUGUACUCUGAAAAAAACAUCAAGAUCCCGAAAGGCAAAGAAAGGCUGCAGAACAUUCUAGAAGGAAGGAGACUAAUGAGACGUGCCCACCAAAUGCAAUAUAUAAUCCUGAAUUGGAUCCAGAGCUCCUUCAAUCUGGGCUGAAUCAAGAAGGAAGGAACAAGCAGAUGGAGGGAGGCAGAGGGAGUAUCGAUUUUUAGAGCAUCCUUUUGUUUUCUGAACAAGUUUCUGAGCUGGAAAAUUUGGAAAACACAGCAAAGCACAGAAAAGAAGCUAAGCUCAGACUCACUUCAAUCAGACACAAGCACUAUUCUCUUUGAUGAGCCCAAUUUUUAUUCUUUGAUCAUAUGUGAGAUUAUA